rnacentral:rRNA from 1 species
UACAGAGGUCUCAAGCGUUGUUCGGAUUCAUUGGGCGUAAAGGGCUCGUAGGCGGCCAACUAAGUCAGACGUGAAAUCCCUCAGCUUAACUGGGGAACUGCGUCUGAUACUGGGUGGCUUGGAUUUGGGAGAGGAAUGCGGAAUUCCAGGUGUAGCGGUGAAAUGCGUAGAUAUCUGGAGGAACACCGGUGGCGAAGGCGGCAUUCUGGACCAAUAUUGACGCUGAGGAGCGAAAGCCAGGGGAGCAAACGGG